UUGCAACAUUGCCGAGCAUGCGUAGAACUCACGUUGGAAAUUCAACGUGAAUCAAUUCGAUUUCUCCAGAGCUAUGCCCACCCUUAACCUGCGAACGGGCAUGCUCGGGGAACGAGAUUCCAAAAAAGUAAGGCUAUAUAGCCCUAACUUUUCGUCCAUUUUUGGCGACUUUUUUCAUUUUUUAUAAGUGAGUAAAAAACAGCAAAACAGUAAGGCUAUAUAGCCUUUACUUUUCGUCCAUUUUUAGCGACGUUUUUCGUAAGUGGGUAAAAAACAGCAAAAAAAGUAAGGCUAUAUAUAGCCUUCGUCCAUUUUUAGCGACUUUUUUCAUUUUUCAUAACUGGGUAAAAAACAGCAAAACAGUAAGGCUAUAGCCUUAACUUUUCGUCCAUUUUUGGCGACUUUUUUCUUUUUUCAUUUUUCAUAAGUGAGUAAAAAACAGCAAAAAAAGUAAGGCUAUAUAUAGCCUUCGUCCAUUUUUAGCGACUUUUUCCAUUUUGCAUAAGUGGGCAAAAAAACAGCAAAAAAGUAAGGCUAUAUAUACCCUUUACUUUUCGUCCAUUUUUAGCGACUUUUUUCAUAAGUGGGUAAAAAACAGCAAAAAAGUGAGGCUAUAUAUAGCCUUCGUCCAUUUUUAGCGACUUUUUCGAUUUUUCAUAAGUGGCCAAAAAACAGAAAAAAGUAAGGCUAUACCCUUUACUUUUCGUCCAUUUUUAGCGACUUUUUUCAUAAGUGGGUAAAAACAGCAAAAAAGUAAGGCUAUAGCCUUCGUCCAUUUUUAGCGACUUUUUUCAUUUUUCAUAAGUGAGUAAAAAACAGAAAAAAAAGUAAGGCUAUAGCCUUAACUUUUCGUCCAUUUUUAGCGACUUUUUUCAUUUUUCAUAAGUGGGUAAAAAACAGCAAAAAAGUAAGGCUAUAUUUCCAUUUUUCAUAAGUGGCCAAAAACCAGAAAAAAAGUAAGAAACUUGAAAAACGGCAAAAAAGUAAGGCUAUACCCUUUACUUUUCGUCCAUUUUUAGCGACUUUUUUCAUAAGUGGGUAAAAAACAGCAAAAAAAGUAAGGCUAUAUAUAGCCUUCGUCCAUUUUUAGCGACUUUUUUCAUUUUUCAUAAGUGGGUAAAAAACAGCAAAACAGUAAAGCUAUAAUACCCUUAACUUUUCGUCCAUUUUUGGCGACUUUUUUCAUUUUUCAUAAGUGAGUAAAAAACAGCAAGAAAAGUAAGGCUAUAUAUAGCCUUCGUCCAUUUUUAGCGACUUUUUUCAUUUUUCAUAAGUGGGUAAAAAACAGCAAAACAGUAAGGCUAUAUACCCUUUACUUUUCGUCCAUUUUUGGCGACUUUUUUCAUUUUUUAUAAGUGAGUAAAAAACAGCAAGAAAAGUAAGGCUAUAGCCUUCGUCCAUUUUUAGCGACUUUUUUCAUUUUUCAUAAGUGAGUAAAAAACAGCAAAAAAGUAAGGCUAUAUAUAGCCUUCGUCCAUUUUUAGCGACUUUUUUCAUAAGUGGGUAAAAAACAGCAAAAAAAGUAAGGCUAUAUAUAGCCUUCGUCCAUUUUUAGCGACUUUUUUCAUUUUUCAUAAGUGGCCAAAAAACAGAAAAAAAGUAAGGCUAUACUAUAGCCUUCGUCCAUUUUUAGCGACUUUUUUCAUUUUUCAUAAGUGGGUAAAAAACAGCAAAACAGUAAAGCUAUACCCUUAACUUUUCGUCCAUUUUUAGCGACUUUUUUCAUUUUUCAUAAGUGAGUAAAA
rnacentral:lncRNA from 1 species